GGCAAGCUAGAAAUAGCUCCGAAUGCGUUUUUAGACGGUUGCUGUUAUAGGGCGCUUGCGAGGAUUUAAAAUUAAAAUGCGAAUUCCAAUUUUUCUCGUAGUAAUAUUUUGAGGUUUAUAUUUUAAAAUAUUUUACUUGCACGUGACAUCUGCUACUCUGCAUUUAUAAUUUAUUUCUCUAAUAAAAUGCUCAUGAAAUAUGAAAUAGUUGCUCCGGCUUUUUAAAUAAAUUCAUGCUUACGAGAACAUAAAAUUGAAACAAAAUUUCCAACUUUUGCCACUGUACUUUGUAUAUUUUAUUAUAAAUUUAUAUUCGAAGAACUUUAUUCGUUCGCGUAUCGAAUUUUCCACUUCUUUUAACGAACUGUCUCCGAAUGAGUUACCGUUUUUCUUUUCCAAUUUACUCCGGAUGAAUCAGUUUCUUCCUUCCUAAAUUCUCACACAUUUUUACAAGAACAUAAAGUUAGAAUUCGAUCAGCUAUUCUCCCUUUUGCAAAAAUUUAUUUAAGAAAGUUGAUAUCUGUGACAUCCGUUGCUUAUGGUAGCCUUGCAAAAUUUUUCUAUCCACGAAACUAUUGGCAAAAGAUGCGGGUCAGGAAGAGCGGUGGAAUUUUUUAACCGAGCGCCGCAUCGAAUUACAUUACACGCUGAAAGCAUAUAAUUUUAGGUUAAUGCAAAAGUUCUGUCAUCUUUUUGGGCUAAAAGGGUACUGUGAAUCUGUACGCGAGAAGGUGCAAUAUCGCGCAGAAAAUUGCAUUAACAGCGCAGAACGUGUCUCGACCUACUGUCACGUCGGCCGUGUUUCCAACUGACAGUCAUUGAACGCUUAUUACAUAUUCACACAACACUGUAUCACCUUGUCGAAACGAUCGUUUUCCUUGAUUCGACGUACGCGUAUGCUUAUUGUUAGUCCCGUAGCUCAUCGUCGAGUAGGCUAUUAUUAUUUUUCUACCAUAGCUGAGCUUCUAAUACGAUGUUAUUUAUAGAAAGACCGGAUACUAUCAUCGUAAUUCGAAGCGAAGAACAAUUUCUCGAUGGCACUUUUACACUUUUCGCUCUGUGGAAAUAGUUGGUUUCGACAGAACUGCAUCCACGACGGGAUUGUAACGGCACGGCGAGGUAGUACGUUCAAUGAUCGUUCGUAAAACGGAUUCCGCUUCUCUUCUCGCGGACGGCAGACGCUUGCACGGUUGAUUUGUAAAAGAAGCGUUUGGCGAAAAAGCCCGACAACGUCCGGAACCGUAUGAAACCGUUCUUCUUUUGCCCGCGCUUUUAUCAGCGUCGAACGUACGCUAGAUAAUAUCCUCGUAAAUAUAUGCAUGUACACUAUACGCUCUUCUGCCGUGCAUAUGCACCGCCGGAAGAACGCGCAAGAGACGAGACCCGUUGUUGCAACCAUCGAUCGCAAAAGUUAUGUAAUGAGUCUUCGCGAAAUCUAGGUUAUUCGAGUGCUUCUACCCCUCGUCGACACGCACUUCAACCCUUCAAAAACCUCGUACGUGCAAAAUUCCAUCCCCAUCGCAUUUAAUACGCAAUUCUUCCUUAUUUUUGCCUCGAUUUCGCCCUAGUAUCGUUCCGUAUUCGUAAACGUGGAUCUUCCCUUUUCAAAUUGUUUCGUUUCAGUCGUUUGAGAGAACUUGAGAAAAAAAUUUUCAAGAAAGACGCGUUUCUACGUGAUUGAUGCAAAACGAAGGGUCGUUUCCAUAGAGAAUGAUUCGUCCUAAAUCUUGCGACAAUCGAAGAGUUUAUUCACAGAUAAUAAUCCUUAAAGAGCCGAAGUCGCAGGUGCGAUUAGCUAGAUUUAUUUCAGCUCGCAUAAGUACGUAAGUACGGAAAGGGAUACGCGAAUCGACCGAUACUGCUCCCAGUUUGACCGGUAGUUUAUGAUCCGGAGGGAAUAUUAGGACUCGAGGAUUAAUUUUGCAGUUGCAAACUCCCUAAACUAGAGGGUGCGAUACAUUUACUUGUAUUGCUUACCCCGAACGUUAUGCGGCUACACCGAAAUCUGGGUUAUCGAGUUGGAGUUGUUGAAUUUCCUCCAAAGGCAGUCGUGCCUCUCGUCAGCACAUUUUGAUAGUUUCUAUCGCAUCUUUGCUCGCACAAAGGUCAAAACUGCAGGAAAUCCUCGAAUUAACGUACAACGCAAAAGUCGCGAAUAACCAAAAGAAUUACAUAAAUGGAAUGUCGUUUUCGAUAAAAUAGUUGGGUGGAAUGCACUUUCGUUGAAUAUCAUUCGGAAAUAACGUCAUUUCUCCUCUUCUUUGCGUCGAAAAAAUAUACCGCUUUUACUACAACUAUAUGUCACAGAAGUAUGUCACAACCGACAUUCGUUUUUACUUUAUCCUCUGCGGCUUUCGUAUUUCUUCUUACCUCUCUUUUUCCUUCUGUCUCCUCUAACACGCAACACGCGUUAUCAAAUUUCAAGCCAUUACACGCGAUGCAAUUAAAUCGAAAAUCUCUCUACCGUUCGAAAGUUCACGUUCGGUAUGCUCCGAGUUGCUCGUUUUACGGAUUUAACCAAACGAAUCGAAGCUCAGUUCGGAACGAAACAGAAACGAUCGGGGGGAAAACAGCCCGAGAGAAAAUCGAGGCCGUUUAAAGGCAUGGCUACGAUUGGCCACGACGUAGCGUGCCAAUUAAAUUUUAUUAUGAUAAUCGAGUCCGCGUCGGUGGCGGCGGAUCUUCAAAACGCUGCAUCUGGAAGCAGCCGCGGGCUGCGAACGGGACCGCUUCCUCUUUCAUCCAGAAACUAGCUACAUAGGUCGGCUCGAUUAGCGCUCCAGGGAACCAACUUUGAAAAUCCGUCCAGCUCGAUAGCUUCUCUCUUUCUCCCUCUCUACCUUUUUCUCAUUCAACGAGCAAACUUUUCGUAGGAAUCAUCACCACCAGGAACCACAAACAUACGAGUGAAAUAAGACGACAAAGCAAAAGGAGAAAAAAAGAACAGCGUCCAAGAAGCUAAAGCAAUCUCAUCGAGAGCAGAAGGAUCGACGCAUAGUUCUAACGGGCACGCGAGAUACGUAAUAUUCGAGAUCGGUGUCAUUACCGCGGAUGAAUAAUGGAACGUGUACAAAUGCGUUUCGAAAUCGGCGCUACUCGCGCGCUGUACGGAUAUCGCGAUCGUACCUUCGCGGCUUCGCCGAUGAUAAUCUUAACGAAAGGCGAAAGGAGAAGUUGGAAAAAAUCGAUACGUGUUUUAUCGUUACGUACUUCCUGGAACUUGGCGUUUUAGUUCGCACGUUGAAAAGUACCUCGUUGUUUCGAUACCGGAACGAAGAAAAUUUCAAUAAACGUAUUAAACUCUGAAAUAAAUGUUUUCCUUUGCUUCUAGAGGCAUCUCAGAAAAUAAAAAGACAGAGGGUCGUGUUCGUUUCAACGUACGCAGCGAGAUCCACUCGCUAAAAACCCUUACCGCGAUCCAAUUAUCAUUCCGCCAAUCAGCCCCGCGAGAAGGAUAUACGUACUACCUUCGCGCCAGUAAAAUUCAAAGUUACUAUUCCCCGGGUAACUUCCUCGGACGUGGAGGUAGUAAAGGAGAGGACAAUAAAAAGAACGAUAAAAAUUCCGCAAAAAUCUUGCUCCUUAAACGGGGUCGCCCGGUUGAAAUCCGACAGGCUGGCCGGCUUGCCAAGCUGCGCGCACGAUCCACCGACAAAAUAAUAAAAGUUUCACGAAAAAUCUACAUUCGAACGGGGUUAAGGCCGCGAGCUCACCGGUUACGACUCUCGGGACACCCGUUAGAAUAUCGCGAAGAAAAAUGACAUAAGACAUCCCUGUUCCGACUCGGGCGCCAUAUGACCGUCUCUGUCGCAAGCUCUUCCCCUCUGCCGGUUCUCCUUCCCCCACUACCGGCCGCCGAUAUCCUACUACCGUCAUUCCUUGCCCUCUCCUCCAAGCCAGCUAAGCCCCCUGCCCGCACCCACUCACCCACCCACUUACACCCCCGCACUUUCACGCACGCCACACAUAGAACCAGCGUCGUCACCACUACUACGCGCCAACGUCGACCGUAUCGCCCGUACUACUACCACUACUACUGCCACCACUUCCACCAAUCCAGUGACCAACGCUAAUUGCAGUCAGCUCAUCGUUUUCCGUAAGCAUAGGAUAGUCGGUGCUGAAAGAAAGGAGCACAGGCGACCCGAAAAAGCAGGACGAGCCGAAGGAGCGGAGAAAGAUAAAGAUAAAGGAACGGAAAGGUCGGAGAAACAGGGACGGAGAUAGGAGGAAGAAUAUCGCAGGAGGAAAAAGAGGAAAAGGAGGAAAAGGAGGAAAAGGGGGCCAAUUACGCGAGGCUAGAGAAUAGAAGACGGAAGAGAGAAGAGAGUAGUCGAGCUUGGAAGCAUAGCUUAGCGUGGACCGACACGGCAUAUCCAUAGACAUAUACACUGUGUCUAUGGGCAUAUCGACGAGAUCCGAGAGCGGCCGAGCACGACCGAGCCGGGCCGACUCGGACCCUGCGCGCUCAACCCAAACCGGAGGAAGCAUAGUUGCAUUUAAACUGCCAUCCCACUGAGGUCUCUCUUCCGUAGUGUUGGAGUAGUCUGCGCUGGCUGGGCCAGCCGCACUCGACGAGUACGUGUCGCGUACCUUGCACCGUUCACCCGCACUCUCUUGCACCAUAUAACCGGACACUCUCUCGCGUGUGACACUUGCUUCUGUCUGUCGCGCUCACCCUCUCGUACGCUUCUCGUCUCGUCUCGCCUCGCCUCCUCUCCGCUUUGUUUCGGGGAAAACGUGCGUCGGCUGGAUUCUCAACUUGCAAGAAAGAAAAAGGGUUUUCGUACGAGGAACGGACCCGAGCGUUUUCACGCCGAGUUCCUUCUCUAUCAAGACUCUUGUGCAUCCUGCUGAUUCAAGAACGAAAAACUUGGGAAUCGAGAAAGGAGAAGAAAGAAAAAAGGAAAGGGGGACGGCGGUAUCGGUCGUCGAGUAUCGAGAUCGAAAUGUUUCCGGAAUAAUAGCGUUCAGUCGCAAUUUUCACCUAUUCGACUAGAUGGCCAGAAUCUCGUGGAAAUCCAAUCGAUCCUACGGUGUCUGGAAUAAUCUUCUUUGUCUUGUUCGUGUCCGAGGAAACUCCAAGUUGAUUCAGUUGAGUGGACUAGCCGGGACUGUCAAAGUUGCGCCUCGGAGUCAGCUGCUUCCGUUACGUCGAGCCGCAGACCCGUGUCUAUAGGAUGUCCUCGAAACGCGCAUCGAGGUCUUCGUUUAUCUUUCGAGAGAUUUCGACCGAUCUUCGAUGAAAAAGAAAGAGACGAUGUACUUCUCGGGCAUCGAACAAAUAUAUACGAAUGGGCAGAUUUCGGAAAACGGUCGGGAAAGUAGACGUUGCCGUUUCACAUUUUCGUAUUCCCUUUGUCCAACUCGGUAGUAACUUGUUAGCCGGGCGCCUUGCAAUUUUAAACUCCGCCGCUCGUCGAAGAGAGAGCCUGCUCGUUUUUCCUCCGUGAAUCCCGACAGCUUUUCGCGUUCCCACCCGAUCAGCGAGAAUAACUUGUUGACUUUUCUCUCGUGAGGGCAACCGCGACUUUUUCACCUGUAUCGCACCAAUCGAAUUUAAAUUUCUACAACGAUCUUUAUCCGCUAUAAUAUUUUCUAAGAACUCGCGGUGAAUCUGUUUCGAUGCAAGCCAUCGUGUUCUUUAUUUUCGCAAAGAUUCUUCGAUUUGCUCGCAACGCUGUAUGCAUGUUACGCGGGGCCACGUCGAUCAAUAAAACACGGCUAUUUCGAUCCGUGAAUUACGUAAUUUCCCGAAUUUCCCUAGCCAAUCCUCGCUGCUCUUUUUUGUCAUUGUGCUAACGAAUUUUUCAUAUUUCUAACGAACAGAAGGCAAACGAGACGCAAAUAACAUCGGAAUUUACCGUAGCCGCCUUCACCGCUGUGCCAUUCUUCUCGUUCAAUUUCAUCACCGGUUUCUUUUUCGCAAUUUUUGCAAGAGAACGCACAGAGAAACCAUUAUGCCACUACGGUAGUCGUCGACUUGAAAUUAUCGAUUCCAUCGAAAACGUUUCUUUCGCUUGUACUUUUCGCUCACCACCUCGCUCACCAAGAACGCUUUAUCAGUUAAUUAGCCGAGUUAAUCAGUGUCGUUUCAAAAACAGAGGGGCAACGAAUUUUUCGGGAAUCUGUUUCGAGAUUUAUCGUGAUUUUCGAUGUUCUUGUGAUUCUUCGUCGAACGCGUUCCUAACCGAUAUUUUCCAACGCUCCGACGUUGGUAAUUGGACGUGGAAAUCACGUAUGACGUAAGAUUUCAUCGAGUAUUCAUCGGUGUAGAACGAACAGGAAGAUUCGAGGCGAGAAUUUCUUACGAGCUUGGUUUUACAAUGCAUUUUUCUCGUUCUCCACGACGAUUGGUCCAUACGAAAGGUAUCGAAACGCUGUUGCUACGUGCUCCGAUGGGGGCCACCUUUAAAGCCGAUAUCGCGGAACGAAGUACAUACUUACUUGCUAUGACCAGGCGAAAUGCUUAAAAGUCCGAGACCGAUGAUCUCGAUAAUCUUCUACGAUUUCUGUGCAAGGUCCAACAUUCUCGAUCGAAAGAGACUCUUCGUUCCACUUUUGACCUUUCCCAGCCCAUCGAUCGGUCUCUGCGAUUUCAAGACCUAACCUGCUCUUUCCUGCAAACCAUUCUUCGCUUCUCCAUUCGUAUUUUAAUGAAUUCUAAUCGUGUUUCGCCGAAAUGACGACCUUCGUCGAGAAGACGAUUUUCUUUCGACCGAUGAAACGGACGGAAACGUUAAUCGCCAACAGAUUGGAAAAUAUUCGAAAAUCGAGAGAGCUGACGCGACGACCAUAGCCCCCAAAGUGUCGUGUAUCGUGCGAGGCUCGUUUCAGAAUGAUUCCUUUGCUUCCGUUCCAUUCGCACUCGUAAGCGCGAAUUAUCGGCACGAGGCCAAACUCGCGCCCCUUUUUCGCGCCUCUGACAUUUAGUACGACGCUGUGCCAGCUUUGCCAGUCUCUUUACGUUUCUCGAAAUCGUCGCCUCUCGAAAUUAAUACAUCGUCGGAAAUCGGUUCGAUAUCGAUGUCGAAGAGAACAUAAACGAAUAAGGAACCGCGCGGAUUAAAGCGAAUAGUUUCAAAGAAAGAUGAAUCGAUGUGCGGCGUUGGAGUUAAAAGCGACAUCGUUCGGUGGAUGGCGCGCCGACAAAUUGUAAUUCCGAUUCGCAGCUUCUGCAGUUGUCGGUUGAUACCCGGUUCCGUGUCGCGGGCUCGUUACGAGCGACCAAAAGGUAAUUUCUUACUCGGCGUAAUAACACGUUCCUGUGUACACACAUCGUCGGCCACUUUUCCGCAACUAUUAGCCCAAUUAGCUCGGACCAGCUUCAUCGUCAACUGUUGCACGCGAGUUCUAACAACGAAUCGACGGAAUUGGACGCGGCAACUGCCUAUCGAUCAAUUAGCCAUUCCGUCGCAACUUUGCCCUUCCGUUUUUGAAAAUGUCAUUAAUCGGGAACGGAUAAUUUUUCGAUGGUUCGCAGCAAUUUCUAACUUGGAUUUUCUGGCCCGGAGACGCGCUUAAUCGUCGCGUCUGUUCCACGUUGGCGAGCUUUUAUCGAUCAAAAACGAUCUCGCCUGCAAUUCGUAGUUUAGAAAUUUCCAAGUACUUGUACAAACGUCCCUCGGGUUUUAUAUUUACAUUCUUCGUUUCCAUUGUCUUGACAUAUUUCGUAGCUUUAGCAGGAUAUUUUGGUGCGAAACUGCUCGUUUUAAGAGACUUCUUUCAAGAGAAAGCAAGAAGUUAAUUAGUUCGUGAUAAUUAAAAAAACUCGUUUCUUCCUUAAUGUUGGCUGCGGCUUGCCGAUUUCUAAAUAGUCAGUAGCUAAUUUCUAAUCUCUUAACUUCAGGUUCCUUAGAUGCGAAAUAAUUCGUUUCAUGAAACGAAAAUAUUUUUUACUUCGUAUCGUUUCGAACUUGUCGAUUCGCUAGCCUAAUUCUUUAUUUUCCAUCGAUUAAAUCGAAGAAUAAUAAAAAACAUUUGCCUCCGUCAAUUAAAACAGGUAUUCAUCUAAAUUCAUUCUCCCCCGACGCUUUAUCCAAUUUUAACUUCGAUCCUUUUAACUCCGACAAUAUCGAAAAACGAUUAAAAUCUUUCGAUGAAAAUCUUUCCAAAGCGAAGCUCUUCUUUCGUUUCCCUUUUUUCUUUUUUUUUUUUUUUUUUUUCUUGUUCGAAAAUGGUCUCUCGAUACUCGGCGCAGGCCGAGAGAAUUCGUCUGCCCUGUGAGAAAAUGAAUAGAAUCGAUCGAUCCGAGAAAGGGAGUAGUAAAUUCACGCGAGUGAUCGGGAAGGAUUGAUGAGAACGGUUCUUUCCAAGAGCGAGGAACAGACGACGAGCAUCGUUUUUCACGUUGGACGAAAUCGAGUUUAGACGCAACAGGGUCACAUGUGACGCCAUGCGAUCCCUAUGGAUGUACUUCAGAAGGGACUCUACUCUAGUUCUGGGAACCGAUAGACUUGAUAAAAUGUCUCUGCGUAUACGAAGGCGGAGACGUUAAAGAGACACGAGGACAUAAAAGAAACAGAGAUAGGAUACGUUGUUGAAUAAUACAUGCCAUUAUAUCAUCGACGAAAACAAAGUGAAAUAACACAGCAGUUACAUCUUUUAAUGUCGCUAUAGUCGGCAUCGGAGGAAUAGAUGGGAUAAAUAAA